AAUUACAGUAUUAUUCAUUCAAGGAAUUCUUUCAUUCAAUUCAAUUAACCCACUCUUUUUCUUUCUCUUUCCUCGUAGCAAAGAUAAAGAGCGCCUUCCACCACCUCGCUCAAGCCGACGCCGGGCAGCUACCACUAUCUCUACCUUAGGCCAAUGCCGCACCACCACCACCAAUUGGCACCAUCGACUCCUCUAAUUGAUUAUAUUCAGAAGCUGUCUCUUUUUCACUGCAUUUUACAAAGUGCUCGAAGUGUAGCUACUUUAUUCCAUGAGAUGAAACGCCGAGAAAGGGAUUGUCGUUUUGGAGUCAUUUCCAUGUGCCUCUGUUUUUUAGAGAGGUGAUCAUGCUAACGGAUUAACUAGUAGUUGCGAUGAGAUGGGGCAUAAUAGCCCCUUGUCUUUAGGAUUCCUAGUCUUUCUACUGUGAAAAAGAGUACACUUGUGUAUUUGUAUUUAUACUGAUGUAAAAUAUAUUCAUUUAAUAAAUUUAUUUUCAAUGUUAAAUCAAUUUGUUA